rnacentral:rRNA from 1 species
GUAGUCUCGCACAGAUGCAUAUCAAUAAGCGGAGGAAAAGAAACUAACAAGGAUUCCCUUAGUAACGGCGAGUGAAGCGGGAAGAGCUCAAAUUUGAAAUCUUCAAGGUUUUACCUUGACGAAUUGUAGUUUAAAGAAGUGUUUUCUGUUGAAGUUUUGGUAAAAGUUCUUUGGAAUAGGACAUCAUAGAGGGUGAGAAUCCCGUAUUUGACCAUUAUUUUCAGCUGUGUGAUACACUUUCAAAGAGUCGGGUUGUUUGGGAAUGCAGCCCAAAACGGGAGGUAAAUUUCUUCUAAGGCUAAAUAUUGGCGAGAGACCGAUAGCGAACAAGUACCGUGAGGGAAAGAUGAAAAGAACUUUGAAAAGAGAGUUAAAUAGUACGUGAAAUUGUCAAAAGGGAAGCGUUUAACACCAGUGUUGUUUUCUGAAAAUCAACCUCUGUUAGCUUUAUGCAUGUUUGUUUAGACCUAAUCAGCUAUCUUGCAUGUUCUAUUGUUUGCAGUGGUGCACUUUUCAGUUUACAGGUCAACAUCAGUUUUUUUUACCGUAAAAAAGUUAAAGAAAGGUAGCUCAUGGCUCCGGUCGUGAGUGUUAUAGUCUUUUUCCUAUGCGGUAGGAGAGACUGAGGUCUGCAGUGUAGGCUAUUUGGCUAGAUACUCAGGUGCUAUGUGAUACCAUUUCAUAAACAACUUGUUGAUUAUGUUUUGUCUAUUGCAUACUCGCUUGUACUAGCAUACCUACGCUUAGGAUGUUGAAGAUGUAGCACAUCAU